rnacentral:rRNA from 1 species
UACGGGGGGGGCAAGCGUUGUUCGGAAUUACUGGGCGUAAAGGGCCAGUAGGCGGCCAACUAAGUCGGAUGUGAAAUCCCCAGGCUUAACCUGGGAACUGCAUCCGAUACUGGAUGGCUUGAAUUCGGGAGAGGGAUGCAGAAUUCCAGGUGUAGCGGUGAAAUGCGUAGAUAUGCGGAGGAACACCGAUGGCGAAGGCAAUCCCCUGGGCCUGCACUGACGCUCAUGCACGAAAGCGUGGGGAGCAAACAGG